rnacentral:rRNA from 1 species
AAACUCAAAUGAAUUGACGGGGGCCCGCACAAGCGGUGGAGCAUGUGGUUUAAUUCGAUGAUACGCGAGGAACCUUACCUGGGCUCAAAUGUAUGUUGACGUAUUCUGAAAGGGAUACUUCUUCGGACAAUAUACAAGGUGCUGCAUGGUUGUCGUCAGCUCGUGCCGUGAGGUGUCGGGUUAAGUCCCAUAACGAGCGCAACCCCUAUCAUUAGUUGCAAACAGGUCAAGCUGUGCACUCUAGACAGACUGCCGUGGACAACACGGAGGAAGGUGGAGAUGACGUCAAAUCAUCAUGCCCCUUAUGAUCUGGGCUACACACGUGCUACAAUGGCCGGUACAACGGGCAGCGAAGGAGCGAUCCGGAGCGAAUCCUAAAAAGCCGGUCCCAGUUCGGAUUGCAGGCUGAAACUCGCCUACAUGAAGUUGGAGUUGCUAGUAAUCGCGAAUCAGAAUGUCGCGGUGAAUGCGUUCCCGGGUCUU